GACGAAGGGGCUAGCGUUGUUCGGAAUUACUGGGCGUAAAGCGCGUGUAGGCGGUUGCCCAAGUCGGGUGUGAAAGCCUUGAGCUCAACUCAAGAAAUGCACUCGGUACUGGGUGACUAGAGGACCGGAGAGGAUAGUGGAAUUCCCAGUGUAGCGGUGAAAUACGUAGAGAUUGGGAAGAACACCAGUGGCGAAGGCGGCUAUCUGGACGGUUUCUGACGCUAAGACGCGAAAGCGUGGGGAGCAAACAGG
rnacentral:rRNA from 1 species